rnacentral:misc_RNA from 1 species
CUGGCUCCACACGCAAACUCCACACAGCUAACUCUCCCGCGUCUCUCUCUAGCUGCUCAUACACAAGAGAUAAGAGCCUCUCCACAAUGUCUGCCCGCCCGUCUGUGAGCGUGUACUCGGCGUCGUCCGACUCCGUUGUCGGGACGUGCCCGCUGCCGGCCGUGUUCACUGCGCCGAUCCGCAACGACAUCGUGAAGUUCGUGCACACGAACAUGGCGAAGAACUCGCGCCAGGCGUACGCGGUGAACCGCCUGUCCGGCAUGAACCACUCGGCGCACUCGUGGGGCACCGGCCGCGCCGUGGCGCGUAUUCCGCGCAUCAGCGGCGGUGGCACGAGCACGUCCGGCGCCGGUGCGUUCGGCAACAUGUGCCGUGGUGGCCGCAUGUUUGCGCCGACGAAGAUCUUCCGCCGCUGGCACCGCAAGAUCAACCUGCACCAGAAGCGCUUCGCUGUGGUGUCUGCGCUCGCCGCGUCGUCUGUGCCGUCGCUGGUGAUGUCGCGCGGCCACAGGAUCGACAACGUGCCGGAGGUGCCGCUGGUGGUGGAGGACUCGAUCCAGGGCUACGAGAAGACGAAGGAGGCCAUGGCGUUCCUGAAGGCGAUCGCUGCGAUCGACGACGUGAACCGCGUGAACGACUCGCGCGAGAUCCGUGCUGGCCGCGGCAAGAUGCGCAACCGCCGCUACGUGGCGCGCCGCGGUCCGAUGCUGGUGAUGCCGAACAACAAGGGCACGCGUGCGUUCCGCAACAUCUUCGGGCUGGACCUGGCGAACGUGAGCGCGCUGAACCUGCUGCACCUGGCGCCCGGUGGCCACGUUGGCCGCUUCGUGAUCUGGACGAAGUCGGCGUUCGAGCAGCUGGACAAGAUCUUCGGCACGUUCACGGAGGCUUCCGCUGUGAAGAAGGGCUUCACGCUGCCGGCGCCGAUGCUGACGAACACGGACGUGACGCGCAUCAUGCAGUCGGAGGAGGUGCGCCGCGUGCUGAAGCCGAAGAAGCUGCAGGCGAAGAAGGCGAGCCGCUACCAGACGCCGACGAACGGCAUCAAGAACCGCCGCCUGCGCCUGCGCCUGAACCCGUACGUGAAGCGCGAGACGGCUGCUGCGAAGGGCAUGCGCAACGUUGCCAACCGCGAUGCGCGCCGCAAGGCGAAGAUGGCGCGCGUGACGAAGGCGAAGAAGGCGGCGACCAAGUCGGCGAAGCAGUAAGCCGCCGCCGCGCCCGCUGCGCCUGGCGAGCCCUCUCUUCCCGCCCCCCUCGUCCGCCUCUCGCUGUCCUCCUCUCGCGUUCGCUGCCUUGGUGCCUCUCUCGGCACUAGUCUGCCGAGUGUUUUACUUUCGGAAGAGUACGCGAAGUGGGCGACCCUCGGCAUGCCGUUCUUUUCCUCUGUUUUCACCUUUGUCUAUUGUUUCGUUUUGGUUCUGUGCUCCGCUUGCCAUCUGCGAUCGAUGCACGGGGGGCUUGGAUGUGCUCUGCCGGAGUUCAGCGUAAGCAUAUAAAUUCUCGCGUUUCGUUUGGCCUUGUUUUAAAGUAGCACAUAAUCGCUGCGCGUUGGUGCCCUUCGACGGGGCGGUAUAAUCGCAGAUGGUUGCUCCAGUGAAGAUACACACACACUCACGGCCACCCACACAGAGUCGCUAGCACGCAUCGCGGUGGUGCAGCGACACGCCAGCGUGGGGGUGUGGCCUCUUUUUUUCCGGCCCUUCCACGGGCGUUGUGUGCUUUAUCGUCUUGGAACAGGUCGGAUACGCAGGUCGUGUGAUGACGUGCCUGUGAGUGCGCGUCUUGGUCUAGUCAGUGUCUCCUCUCGCUAGGGGGUGACAUCGUCGACUUGUGCUGCCGCGCUCGUUUACGUUUAUGAGCACCGUGCACUGCGCGCCGGUUAACCGAAGAAAAUGCGAGCAAAGAGGCUUGGCCGUGUAUCAGUACCGCUCUGAUGAGUCACAGGGGCUCGAGGCGCAGGAGGGCAUCAAACGGGAAAUCGCCUCAAGAGCCUCUUGGCUUCCGAGUGAGAGAGCGCCUGAGCGGGCGGUUGCACCCUCUUUGGGUGUCUCGGGGGUUGUCAGAUCAGUUCUCGUGACAGUUCCUGCCACCGUCUUCUGGGUGCCGCUCCGCUUCGAGUGCCAUGCUUGACGGGGGCGGUGCGGUCGUUUUGGGAUUGACGGGAGCCACCUAAGCGCCUUUCUCGCAACUGUCACCGCCAGCACUUGCCUUAUGCCUCUGCUUCGCUUUUCGUAGCUGCCGUACGUGUGUGUGUAUGCGUAGGAAGGUGUACGUGUGCCUCCUAUGCAUGGCCCCUCCUCUCCGUCCCCCUCCCCCACGCCCUGCAUGUCGUCCGUCCUCUUCCCUCUCCGUCCUCUCUUACUCUCGCCCUUAUACCUCCUUCACCUCCCCCUCUUUUCCGCGCGGCUGCAG